GUGACAUGUGAGCUCGUGUCCAGGCCUGUAUUACCGGAGGUGGACAGUGCAGGUGAGGCAGGUGAGCAGCCUUCCCAAGCAAUGGAGCUUCUGCUUAGAAUCCACAGGGAGGCCCAGGCCACAGAAGCUUAAUCCUGAGGUGGUCUCUCUGGGAAGCUUCUGACAAGUGGCUGUCGUCCUCACCAUGCUGAGCGUGGAGUCGAGCCAAGAGGGCUUCCUGGGAGCGGUAAUUACUGGUGGAGCGACUGAGGCUGAGAGACGGAAGGAACUGAAGUAGUCAAACUAUGGCCCUGUGGGGCCUUGAGGAGAAUCCAGGCCAAACCUCUUUCACCUGCCCCUCCUGAGGACCAGAUACUACUACCAAUACCUCCAUUUUGCAGAUGAGGAAAUGGAGGCACAGGGAAGGUAGGUCACUUGCCCACAAUCAGGUAGGGGGUGGUGCUGAUUUGAGCUGAGCCUAGUUCCAUAGUCUUUCCUCUUCUUCUCUGCACUAUGCUGCUGAAUAGGGAAACUGAGGCCAAGGCAGGAGUGGCUGGAGA
rnacentral:lncRNA from 1 species